GUUAAAGUUAAGUCAUCAAAUGGUAUAGUGAGUCAUAGUGAGUCAUGGUAUAGUGAGUCAUAGUGAAUCAUGGUAUAGUGAGUCAUUGUAUAGUGAGUCAUAGUGAGUCAUGGUAUAGUGAGUCAUUAUAUAGUGAGUCAUAGUGAGUCAUUGUAUAGUGAGUCAUGGUAUAGUGAGUCAUUGUAUAGUGCGUCAUAGUGAGUCAUUGUAUAGUGAGUCAUGGUAUAGUGAAUCAUGGUAUAGUGAGUCAUAGUGAGUCAUUGUAUAGUGAGUCAUAGUGAGUCAUUGUAUAGUGAGUCAUAGUGAUUCAUUGUAUAGCGAGUCAUAGUGAGUCAUGGUAUAGUGAAUCAUUGUAUAGUGAGUCAUAGUGAGUCAUUGUAUAGUGAGUCAUAGUGAGUCAUGGUAUAGUGAGUCAUUGUAUAGUGAGUCAUAGUGAGUCAUUUCAUAGUGAGUCAUGUCAUAGUGAGUCAUUGCAUAGUGAGUCAUAGUGAGUCAUGGUAUAGUGAGUCAUUGUAUAGUGAGUCAUGUGAGUCAUGGUAUAGUGAGUCAUAGUGAGUCAUUGUAUAGUGAGUCAUAGUAG
ensembl:lncRNA